rnacentral:rRNA from 1 species
UGGGGAAUCUUCCGCAAUGGACGAAAGUCUGACGGAGCAACGCCGCGUGAGUGAAGAAGGUUUUCGGAUCGUAAAACUCUGUCUUUUGGGGGCGAACGUGAGUAUGGUGAACAAUCAUAGUCAGUGACGGUACCAAAGGAGGAAGCCACGGCUAACUACGUGCCAGCAGCCGCGGUAAUACGUAGGUGGCAAGCGUUGUCCGGAAUUAUUGGGCGUAAAGAGCGCGUAGGCGGGAUAGUCAGUCUGUUGUAAAGUGCGGGGCUCAACCCCGUGAUCGCAAUGGAAACAGCUAUUCUUGAGUGCAGGAGAGGAAAGUGGAAUUCCCAGUGUAGCGGUGAAAUGCGUAGAUAUUGGGAGGAACACCAGUGGCGAAGGCGACUUUCUGGACUGUGUCUGACGCUGAGGCGCGAAAGCCAGGGGAGCGAACGGGAUUAGAUACCCCGGUAGUCCUGGCCGUAAACGAUGGGUACUAGGUGUGGGAGGUAUCGACCCCUUGCCGUGCCGGAGUUAACGCAAUAAGUACCCCG